UGCAGGUUAGCAGGAACUAGGGAGGAGAGGAUCAAUGAGCUAGCUAUUGCUCCCUGGUUGCAGAGUUCCAGAUUUUGAAAAGUUUGGGUACAAGCGAUCCCAGUGAACUCUACUCUCAAAAUGAUUAAGAUGGUUAUGAUACUUCAAAUUUAAAUUAAAUUACUUUUGGCUGCUUGGAAAUGCCAACAUCACGACUAAUGAAAGCCUCUAAGAACAUGUGCUGUCUCCAGUAAAGGGUAGCCUAGCAGGAC
rnacentral:lncRNA from 1 species